GGCUUUGGGGAGGGGGUGGGAGAGACGACAGGUCUGGGAUCAGGGAGUCUUCAAGGCCCCCGCUGAGGGGACAGCGAAUCUACCAUUGAACCGUGCACGGGGGACAUGGACAAAAUGAGACGCGACAGGGACAAGAGCAUUUUGCUCUGCUUCCAGGAAACAUCAAGUAGACUUCGCUUGAAAAGAUCGAGAAUGGAGGAGGGGAUCGGCACUCACUUGCAGACAUCAACAGUUUCCAGAAAAUUCGGUUCAAUUCCUUCACCACGGACCCACCAACCAAGGAGCUGGCAAAACCCACUAACCAACCAGGAGAACACAGACCCGGUUUGUCUUUUGACAACCGAGUGGAACUGACGGGGCCGGCGCCUGCCCUGCGGGUCCCCUCCCUUGGCUGAGAAGAAAACCAAAUAAACCUUGAACAGCCUUGGCUUCGAAAAAAAAAAAAA
rnacentral:lncRNA from 1 species